rnacentral:rRNA from 1 species
GACGAACGCUGGCGGCGUGCCUAAUACAUGCAAGUCGAACGCAGUGGGGACGGGUGAGUAACACGUGGGUAACCUCCCAUCAGAGGGGAUAACACUUGGAAACAGGUGCUAAACCGAUACUGAUGGAUGGACCCGCGGGGCAGUAGCUAGUGGGUGGGGUCACGGCCCACCAAGGCCACGAUGCAUAGCCGGCCUGAGAGGGUGACCGGCCACACUGGAACUGAGACACGGCCCCGACUCCUACGGGAGGCAGCAGUAGGGAAUAUUCGGCAAUGGACGAAAGUCUGACCGAGCAACGCCGCGUGAGUGAAGAAGGUUUUCGGAUCGUAAAACUCUGUCGUUAGAGAAGCGGUAUCUAACCAGAAAGCAACGGCUAACUACGUGCCAGCAGCCGCGGUAAUUC